AUUUUCAAUCAACUAAGUCACCUACCAAACCACAUUCAAAACAAGAAAAUUCGCUUUAAAGUCCCUGCACUUAAACAUUUUCAAGCAACUAAGUCACCUACCAAACCACAUUCAAAACAAGAAAAUCCGCUUUAAAAUCUCUACACUUAAUCGUUUUCAAAAGGAAUUAAGUCACCUACCAAACCACAUUAAAAAAAAAAGCUCUCCUUUAAAGUCCCUACACUUAACCAUUUUCAAACAACUAAGUCAACUACCAAACCACAUUCAAAACAAAAAAAUCCUCCUUAAAGUCCCUACACUUAACCAUUUUCAACCAACUAGGUCACCUACCAAGCCACAUUCAAAACAAAAAAAAAUCUCUUUUAAAGUCCCUACACUUAACCAUUUUCAAGCAACUAAGUCACAUACCAAACCACAUUCAAAACAAGAAAAUCCGCUUUAAAGUCCCUACACUUAACCAUUUUCAACUAACUAAGUCACCUACCAUACCACAUUCAAAACAAAAAAUUUUCUUUUAAAGUCCUUACACUUAACCAUUUUCAAUCAACUAAGUUACUUACCAAACCACAUUCAAAACAAGAAAAUCCUCUUUAUAGUCUCUACACUUAAUCAUUUUUAAGCAACUAAGUCAACUACCAAACCACAUUCAACACAAAAAAUUUUCUUUAAAGUUCCUACACUUAACCAUUUUCAACCAAGUCACCUACCAAACCAAAUUUAAAACAAAAAUAUUUCCUUUAAAGUCCCCACACUUAACCUUUUUCAAGUAACUAGGUCAACUACCAAACCACAUUCAAAACAAAAAAAAUCUCUUUCAAAGUCCCCACACUUUGUUGACACCCAAUUUUGACUCUCCCUUUUUCCUUUAAUUACUUUUCCAAAGCUUCUUGACCAUAAAUAAUUUUCAAAAAUUAAAUAAAAAUAAGAUUCGUAUUUUUGUUUCUAUUUCUAUAAGUUUUAAUAAAAAGGGAAUUUAUUUUUAUUUAUAAACUUACUUUAAUUAAAUAUAAUUAAAUAUUUUGACAUCAAAAUCACAAAAUAUAUAUUUUUUGGUGGUCGCAUUCGCAUUCUUUCUUACUUUAUUUUUGAGGCAAUAUUGUAACCUUAUAUGUAUAUUUUUAUUACACAAAAUAUAUUUUUAUAAGAUGUACAUAUAUUAUUAUUAUAUUCUUAUUUUAUGUAUUUUAUUAUAUUCUUAUAUAUACAUAUAUAUAUGUAUUUUGUUUAUAGGAAAGUUGCAAAAUAUUACGCUAGACGUCUGUACAAAUUAUGUCUAUAAACUAAAAAAAUAAUUUUUAGAAUAUCAGGAAGCAUCGAUAAAUUUAAUUUCAAUAGAAAAAGAGUAUUCGGGCUAACAAUAAUCCAACUUUUAUUUUAUUUUAUUUUAUUUUUCACCUGAACCCAACUCUUAUUUUAUGAAUUUCAGCCAUGAGCCCAGAUAUCAGCCCAAGUCAGUAUAAUUUCUAUGCCCGCUUCGUCAUUCCGCCUUAACAAAUAUAAUUUGACCCAAUCUGUCAAUUUAUUUUGAAUUCGAGGGGUCUCGAAUUUUCAAAUGUUGAUAUAUAUAUAUAUAUAUAUAUANNNNNNNNNNNNNNNNNNNNNNNNNNNNNNNNNNNNNNNNNNNNNNNNNNNNNNNNNNNNNNNNNNNNNNNNNNNNNNNNNNNNNNNNNNNNNNNNNNNNNNNNNNNNNNNNNNNNNNNNNNNNNNNNNNNNUCCAUUCAAAGAUCGAACGGAUCAAAAAAUAAUCAAUUCUUAAUUAAUUUUUUGUAUAUUUAUUUAUAUAUAAUUUGUAUUAUUAUUUUUAAGGUGCUAUUACAUCGGAGGAAUAAAAAUGGAUCAAUACGUGCAAGAUCAGUGCAAUAAAUAAAAAAGUUCACGCAUCUGCUUUUGGCAAAAAUAGGCGUAACUCUCUUCCUAAAACUGCCAAAAUAGGCGUAACUCUCUUCCUAAAACAAUAUUGAUUGAUCUCCUUCCCAAAACAACAACGAUGGCCUCCUUCCCCUCUUCUCCUCUUUCAACCUUCUCCUCUCACCCCAAAUGAGAAAUCUUAAGAUCUCCAUAGCUGGCCACCGUCUGCCACCUACCCAUAUGAAUCUUUCAUUUUUAUCACCCCAAGCCAGCAAAUUACCAAAAAUCAGAGAAAAUCAGUCCCUAAUUUGUGCAAAAAUGAAAAUUUCUGAGGAUUCGCAGCUAAAGCUUGAUAAAAACUGAAAUUUUUGUAGAUGAAUGUCAUAAUUUUGAAUUCAAAUCUCAUCUCCAUAAAAAUAUGCUUCAAAUCCAGACUUUGGAGUUCGGAUUUAGGCUAUAAAUAGCCCCAAAAUCGCCAUCAUCAGGAAAAACUUAGAGAUUAAAGGAAAAACUCGACAAGAAGCCCAAGUUUGCUGCACAAUACAAGGUGUGAAUCUGCUUCCUUUUAAUUCAUUUUCUUUUUCCUCCCUUUGUGCAUGUCGAUUCUGUGAAUACGAAAUUCAUUGUGAUCGCUAAUUAGUGUUGUUGUUGUUGUCUUGGCGUUACGGAUGGGAGUGUGGUUAUAAUUUAGUUAUUUGAUCCUCGAGCAUGUCCUUUAAUUUAGAUUCUGGCUGAAAAAAUGAUUUUUGGUACAAGUUUCGAUCAAGUUGUAAGUUGUCGUUAAUCCCAGUGGGUCUAAAUGUGAUCGUUCAUCGGGUUUAAGUUGUUGUUUGGGUGUGAGUGGUUAAGUAUUAAUUCUGUUAGUCUGUAGAACUAGGUGUACAAUGUGAAUUUUUUAUCAAGCUUACGUUGGUUUUGACUCAGAAAUUGAUUCGUGUAUAAAUGUGUGAUUCUCUUGUUGUUACGUUUAACCUAUUUUGCUUUUGCCGAAAAACACAACUUUUGCAGUCAUAUUAUAUGUAUGUAGGAGUCUGUGUGCAUGCCUCGCUCUUCCCUUUACUCUAUUUCCUUUCAAACUUCAAAUACAUGCUUAAUAUGGUAUCACGAAUGACUUUUAAAUAUAUACCAUGCCUUUGAUUGUGUGAAUUUCCCCUUCCUGCUCUACUUUCUCUUCAUCUCAUUUUUUUAUUUUAUUUUUAUUAUUAUUUUUGAGACAUGUUGUUUUCUGUCUUUAAGUUUUGUUGUUGAUGCCUUCAUCGACCCCGUGAAUAGGAUAAAUCUAACUUCGUGAAAUUGCCUUUGGUUCAAAACCAACUUUUAUGAAUACAUGACCGAUAAAUACGCGAAUGGUUUGGGCUACCUCAGAUUCGGUUCAUAUUAGCACCUAUGUUCGCUCCCUACAAACUAAGUUUAGUAUAGAGCUUUGAAGUUGUCCAGUUGCUUGAUGUGGUUGCUUUAAAUAUUAAUAUUGUUUGUUGCUGCAUUUGGUCCUAUGAGCAAGUAUCCGGGUCUAUCUCAAGAUCACAUUUAUGUAUAUACAAGUUCUUGGGCACGAAAAUACAAGACAUAAUUUGGUUUGAUUUCCGAUUAUGGUAUUGCUGUCCAUUUUUUUGUAAAAUCAGGUCCGACAACAUGAUUUUAUUUUAAGUUACAUGGUUGUCCAUUUUACAUAGAUAUGGUUUGGGUUCGUUUAUUGGGUAUAUAGCAAAGUCCAUUUUGAUUCGUUUGUCGUAAAACAGACAUCUCCUUAUAAUAAAGAUAAGAGGUUGCAAUUUGAAGUCGUUAUCUAAAUUAGACGGUUAAGGCUCGUGUAUAUUUGGCCUAAGCUUUUUAAAACAAUUUGUUACCAUUUUAAUUUUUUUACGCACUGCACUACUUGAAUUAAAGUGAGCAGGGAAUAGUCUCAAUUAAAUUUUGUUUCAUUCCUACACAUGGUUUGAAAACCAAGAUAAUAUAAUUCAUUUUUGUGAAGGUGCUUCACUCUUUUGGUAUAACUUAACACUAUCAUCACAUAAGCACUUUUCAUAUGAUUUCAAUCUGUAAGAACUUUGUUUGGAGCAUGUCCAGUCAAAAAAAGAAGAGAAAGUCGACCUUAGCUUGCAUAUCUCGUCUAUUACUUGUCAUGGGAGUAUGUUGUAACAGGUUGUUUAAAUUCGUUAAUUGUUUCUUGUCCUCUUGAAUCAAACUAGCUUUUACAUAUGGGAAUACAUGUGUGAAACAUUUUUUCACUAGUGUUUAAUACGUGCUUAUAUUGGUAAGUGACUGUGUUCUUUGAAGCCUACUUAGACAAAUUGUAAAAAUGUACAUUUCUUUAGAUAGACCAAGUGAGUGACUUUGUUGCUAGUAUUACUCACGCGUCCAUGAUAUAGGUGAUGUUUUAGUUAGUAAAUGGAGAUCAUUGGCCUCGAUUGACGCCAUUUUACUAUUGUUAUUCACGUAAGUAGUUAUAGAUUUUGGGUACUUUAUUCUUACAAUUGCUUGAAGGGCAUGAGUUGGGUGCCUAUAUAUUUGAGCGUCUCGAUACUGGUUUGUGAUCUAUGUCAUACUAUUGGAGUAUUUACUUGUUAUCCUUAAUCCUUUUUUAUAUAUAUUUAGCUUGUUUCUAAUCUGUUUCCUUAUUCUUUUCUUUUACAUGUACACUUGGGAGCUGGAGUUCCGCAGUGGAACUCAAUUUGACCCGUAGAAUUGGGUUAACGGCUAUAGGAUCACAGAGCUUGGGGUCUAAAUCGCUAGGAGCCGUUUCCUUCUAUGAGAGUUUAUAGUAUCUAGUCCUUUACCUCUCUCAUGACUUUAUUAUUCGUGUUUGUUUCACUAAGUUUGUGUUACUUUGAUUAUGAAUUUUUAUGUGGCCUUGAUUGAAAUUGAUUACCUUAGUUAAUUUAAUUUUGUUUAAACUUUUAAUCAUCUAGAAUUGAUUUUAUUCGGCCAAUUUCAUAUUUAUUUGAUACUCGUAGAUGUAAUAAUGGUAUCUAUGGUUUAACCACUCCUUGUUACCAUUUUAACCUACGAAUCAAACUUUUUAAUAGUAAAUGGUCAACCUUGUCUUUUAAAUGCAAUUUCAAAGGGAAAUAUAUUUUUGUAAUUGAAAUAAAAUGUUUGGUUAUAGUCCUUUUGCAAAAUACUUAAUUAAUGAGUUUUAUCACUUUAAUUAAAAAAUUUCAAAUAAAUAGUUAUAAAUAGGUUUCAACUAGUUAACCCUCUUAUGUUUUCAAGUAGCUCAUCUAUCAAAUUUGAUUCUUCGUUUAACUCAGCAUAAUCUAAACGUUUAUUACUUUACACUUAUUCCUAACGUUAUUUUAAGUUUUCAGAUUUUACAAAUCUCCAAACAGAAGGUAUGCAGACAUUCGUACACUACCAUAUAUAAGGAAUAUUUUUCACUAUUACUAUUCUUAUUCUUACUAUUGUACUAUUAUUACAUAUUAUCAUUUGUGUGUUAUAUCAAUUCUGCUACCACAUUUUGCUUUACUCACUUUCAAUAUAUUGAAAUCUCAUAAAUCAAGUAAAUUUUUGCAUCUUUCAUAUACUCUCACAAAUAUACAUAUUUAUGUUUAUCUUACAAUGAAUGAACUCUCGCAUACUUUAGAGUAUACUUUUCUAUUUUUAUAACAACUUGUUUAUGUAUUUGACUUAAUAUACCUUUAAACAUAUUUUCAUAUAAAAUUAUGACACUUCUAUAUUUUCUACUACAGGUAUAAUAAAGGUACUACUCUUCUCCAUAUUUCUGAAAACAUUCAUAUAUGUAUUUUGCAAUUGUCAUAUUACGUCCUUGUGUAUUAUAGUAUUACAUCUUAUAUAACUUGAAUAUCAUUUUCGAUAAUAAUAAAAGUUUUCUCAUCAUUGUUUUAAGCAAAUAACAAAAUAAAGUUUUUCUAAUAUUUUUCUAAACUAAGCGUAAGGACUAUCUUCGGAUAGACCCAGAGGGGUGCCUAACACCUUCUCCUCGGGUAACCAAAACUCUAACUCCGAAUCUCUAAAUAUUUUUGAAAGAUCAAAACAGAGUUUUCUACAAAAAAAAAUGGUUUUUCCUAAUUUUCCUAAAAAGUUAGGUGGCGACUCUAAAAAAUAAUUUUCAAAUCCCAAGAGUUACUAAACGCUACCAUACGUCGUGUGUUAUUUCGACUGGUUCGAAAUAGGGUGCGACGGAAUGACAACUCUACUGGGGAAUAAUGAACUUAGGUUUUUUAGCUUAACAUGCUUAGUUUAGGAUUUUUAUGUUUUAUUAUGUUAUUUGCUUUACGUAUCUUUAUUAUGUUAUUUGUUAUUUGCUUUACGUAUCUUUAUAUGUUAUUUGUUUUUGUGUGAAAGGACAGUCAAAUCCAAACUUGUGUUCCUUAUUUGUUUGAACAACACUACUUGUUACUGCUUUAUCACUUGCAUUUUCCUAUCGAGUCUUUGGCCGUACACAAUUCACACACUAUGGUUCACGCGGGGGGUGUAUCUAUACUCCCCUAAACCUUCUUUGGAUUCCUUAGUUUCAGAGUUGAUGCAAUUAGAUUAGUGCACCUUCUCGCAGCUAUUCAGUCCUAUUCUCAAAUAUUUAGGAAAAUAUCUUACUUUAGAAAUAGGUCAUGUCACAUAAACCCUAGGCACGACGGUCCAAGGCAAUGUCAUCGCAAUUAGGAAACCACCCUUUUGUCAAAGGUUACAAACCUGUCGACAUAUUUUGUGUGAUGAUUGAUGUUAACGGUCUAAACUAAAAUAGAUAAUGAAUUUGAGAUAAACGACUUAUCAUAUCAUUUACCCUUUCUUUCAGAUGGAUACCAACCAAACCAUACUAAACAUCCAAAUGAUUGCCUUAGUCCCCCAAAACUUACAAACCUGGUAGCAAAAUAUUCAAGCCGUGCAAGGGUCCAAAGUCAGAGAACACUUAGGCUCUUUGGUGUUCCUCAUAGAUAUUCAGGCCAACGAAGCACUCGUAAAACUAUUGGUUGAGCUUUGGGAUCCAUCCACCACAACAUUUCAGUUUACAGACUUCGAAAUCACCCCAACUUUGGAAGACAUCAGUAGCCUCACGGAUUUUCCUCUUGAAGGAAGGUUGAUGUUAGUCCCAUUGGCCAUGGCAAUGGUUUUUUGCAUACUUUGGGUUUAUGAGAAGACCAUGCACCGAGGAGCAUCAGAUACGGUUGGUUUAACUUGGGUUACCUAUUUCAAAUAUUUGGAUAUCAAAUGAGCUAUGACCAUCACGAGAGGACUUCGCUUGUAGCUGAACUAGGUGGGAGAGUGUUCGCACCGUGUCUUUCGCACUUGCCAUACUGGGAAUUCUAGUUUUUCCUCGAAGAAGGGGACAUAUCAACAUCAACUUGAUGCCUUUGGCUCCUCCCAUGUUCAUCGGUUUUAAGAGAUUGAUGUUAGUGCCAAUACUGCUGGCAGGAUUAUUUCGAUCUUUGUCUGCUUGCUCGAGAGGGAAUGAUUUCUUUGGUGGAUGUAACCUGCUACUUUAAGUCUGGGCCGUAGAAUACUUCUAUCAACGAGCGCCAAUCGAAGAUAACUUAUAGGACGACCCCAACAUGAUAUAAAACCAUGAACAAAGGUUGAGAUUUUGGGAGGCACCACUAGGAUCAGAAGAAUGGUGGGCUUAUCUGACGUACCUCACAGGAGAUGCCAUCCAAUGAAAGCUUCCUGGGAUUACAGGGAAAGCACUAUUGAGAAGGUACACUAGUUAUUUUAUUGAGCUAAUUGGAUUGGAAGGAAUCCAACCGUACGCUCCACUUAGAGUUCAACGUCAAUUUGGCAUAAAACAAAAUAUCCCUUUAUGGUCGUCCAUGGAUCCAGCGGAAAUUACUUACGAAAAAUAAGUGCCUUGGGACAGAAUUACGAAGCUACAGGAAAUAUGGAUGAACAUAUCAGCAGAAAUUGGACAAACAACUUGGUACACCUCAGAGUAUUAUGCAUGGAAAGUAGAAGGAGGUCUAAUAACACGACCAAGCUGGGAAAGGAUUCCUGGGUUGGUGGACUACGACAUGGUGUGUCAGGUGGCGAGGGAAAUACUACCUCACAUGUAUCUUACCACCUCCAUGUACCAACAGGUAGUUCCGGGAUAGGUGGAUCACAUGAUUCCUCCAGACGAUAAUGAUGAUGUUAAGGAAGGCACAAACGAGGAAUUAGGCGACCAAUCCAUGAGGAAUGAAGAUAAUUCAGACUACCCAGAGUGGCUAAUAAAUAAUCAAGAUUUCAUGGACUAUUUUCUGUGCCCACGAGAUGACAAUGACAAUGGCCCCACUUGGCCUUAGACUUCCUUUCUUGUUACACUUUCUAUAUUCCCUAAAUAUCCAUAUGGUCAACCCCUUGUAAGCCCUUGCGGCCAUCCUUGUACUUUCUUUCUAAACUAACUUUGAUCUAUUUUAAUGUAACUAUUUGAAGCCUUUGUUUAAUGAAAGUCAUGUUUAUUCUUAAAUCCAAAUGUGUUUAAAUAAACCGUUUAUCAUCAAAUUGAUUGUAACGUAGGCCUACCUCUGGUGAAAAGAGGCUCUAUAUUAGGACGUGUUUGGAUGUUGUCAACUUGGCGUAUAUAUAUGUUACUUACUUGUUACAUUUUCAUUAUUACCCAAACUAACAUAGUUUUCUUUUGCUUUUUCUUUUCUUCCUUUCUUUUGUUUAUUAAUCCCGAUAAAAAAUAAAAAUAAAAAGUUGAUUUGUGUCGACUGAAAAACUGGUGGAAUCCCAAUACGACCUUCGAUCGAAAGACAAAAUGACUAAUAAAGAUAAGGCCGUGAUGAUCCCAGUAGAUGACACCGCGGGGUUCUAAAUGGCCGUCAGAUACUCAGAAUGAUGAUCAAAUGGCCAAUAUGGCACAGGAAAUUGAGGUCCUAAAGAAGAACUCCAUCAAAUACGGGAUCUAAUCAAGCUUACAAUAGCUAGCUUUCCCGCUCAGCCGCAGGCUCCAAGUAUUGAAUUACGUCCAGGCGUUUCCGCUAACCAAGCAAGUAUACCGCAUGCUCAAGACCUACCAGCUUUUCAACCUACUGUCGAAACUAUACCUACUUAUUCAUUUCCUACCCAGAACUUUACUAUUCCAAUCCAUCCAGAAAUACAACAUAUAUCCAAGGCAUAUGUCACUUGUGAGAUACCUGUGCCACUUAUAUAUGCUACCGAAGCUUCUGCUUUCGCAGCAUCUGCGACUCUUAAGGUUCCAUAUGAGGUUGAUGGAUAUGCAAGAUUGAGAAAAGAUGUCCAAUCAAGUGAAGAAGGGUCUAUAUCAUCCCAGCUUGAGAGUCUAAAGCGAGCAUUCAGACAUAUGCAAGUCACCAGGGAAACUGAAAGUUUGGACUACGAUGACUUAUGCAUUCAUCCAGACAUUGACAUGCCAAUGGGAUACAAACCACCAAAGUUCGAUGUGUUUGACGAAAAAGGUGACCCGCAUGCACACCUGAUGGCUUACUGCGACAAGUUGGUCGGGGUAGGAAGGAACGAGAAGUUGAGAAUGAAGUUGUUCAUUCAGAGUUUGUCGGGAGAAGCUUUGACUUGGUACAUCUGACAAGACCCUCGUAAGUGGCGUGACUGGCAGGAAAUGACUAAGGAUUUUAUGAUUCGUUUUAGAUUUAACACUUAGAUUGCUCUAGACAGGUUCUCAUUGGCUAAUAUACAGAAGAAGUCAUUCGAUUAUUUCAAUAAUAUGCAUGGCGAUGGAGGACCAAGGCUGUAAGGAUCCAGCCUCCUUUGGAUGAAAGUGAGCUCUCCAAAUAUUUUAUCCGAGCAUAAGAGAGUGUUUACUUUGACAAAAUAAUGUUGAUGAUGGGCCAAAAGUUUGCAGAAUUGGUCAAAAUGGGAGAUUUCAUAGAAGAAGCCAUCAAGUCGGGGAAGAUCCAAUCUAUGGUUGUACUGCAAGUAAGGCCAUGCAGAUUGCUUCCAUUAAUGGUAAUAAGAAAAAGAGGGAGGACGUCUCAACCGUCACACCAUACUACCGAUCGGGAAAUUCUUCCCACCAUUACCCUAACAACCCCCAAAUUAUUGCAUACGUCCCAGUGUAUAAUACUCAACCGCAUUAUAAUCCUCCUCGAGAUCCAGCAUACCAAAAUCCACCAAGACCAUACGCCCUUGUCCAAGCUCCAGCUCACCCAAAUAGACCAGCCUAUGCGCCCAGACCACGUCCAAAUUUUGAAGCCAGAAAUAUUUGCACUUACACACCAAUUGCAGAACCUUUGGCCCAGUUGUUUGAGAGAUUGAGGGUUUUCGGUUUUUUGCAUCCAAUUGAGGGGAAGGCCCCUGAUUUGACUUCUCAAAACUUUGACGAUAGCAAGCAGUGCGCCUAUUACUCAGGAGUCCAGGGGCACGAAACGGAAGACUGUUACAUCUUGAAGAAUAAAAUUGAGUCUCUGAUAAGAAGGGAUAUCAUCAAAUGCACCGUCGCAGCUCCCAAUGUGAACAAUAACCCUUUGACAAAUCAUGGAAAUCGAGAAGUCAACAUGAUUACUCUAGAGGAGGAGUACGAUUUGGAAGAAACUAUUAUGCCCACAUGAAGCGCAGAGGAGAUCACCACUGCAUCCCCAGCACAUCCAUUUAUCACAGUUCAGUUGAGGGAGCCUAUAACUGUUCUGACAUACCUGUCGAGAGUUGUAGUGAUCACAUCAGCCACUGGUAGGACCGACUAUGACACUAAGGCAGUCCCAUGGGACUAUCAAGCUAAAGCUAAGGGAAAAAUAAUAGACGUUGUUGCGGCUCAAGGGAUGACCAGGUCGGGAAGGUGUUAUGCGCCAGAGGAACCAAAUCGUGGAGUUAUCCAGAAAGAUCAAAACCCGAAGAGAAAUAUCACAGAUGUUGAAGCUGCAGAAUUUUGAAAGAAGAUGCAGCCCAAGGACUAUUCAGUCGAGGAUCAACUCAAGAUCAAGACACCGACCCACAUAUCCGUCAUGUCUUUGCUUAUGAGUUUUGAAGCCCAAAGAAAUACUUUGAUGGAAGUGUUAUCUGGGAUUAGCAUACCAAAAGGAGACAACUAGCGAAACUUUGGCCGCAACAAUCGGGCGAGUGGUAGAGGCAAAUAAGGUCUCUUUCCAUGAUGAUAAGUUACCGUCAGAAGGAGCUGCACACAACAAAGCGCUCUAUAUUACGGUCAGAUAUCAUGACAAGAUUGUGAACAGGGUCUUGAUUGAUAGUGGUUUGGGUUGCAAUAUCUUUCUGUUCUCCACUCUAAGAGAUUUGAGUGUAAAUAUAGAAGAUAUAAGGGAAAGUCAGGUUAAGGUUAGAGCCUUUGAUGGGUCGCAAAGGAGUGUCAUCGAGGAAAUUUACUUAACACUGCAGAUAGGACCAAUAGAAUUUCCUAUCCUAUUUCAGGUCAUGGAUGUGUCAUCUAGCUACAACCUGUUGUUGGGGAGGCUAUGGGUCCACAUGAAAAGAGUCGUUCCUUCCACUCUCCAUCAAUGCAUGAAGUUUGAAUGGGGUCAUACAGAAGUUACUGUCCAUGGAGAACUUAGUCAUCCUAUUUAUUAUGUCAAUUCAGUCCCAGUCACCGAGGAGUUAGAUAGAGCCACUUUUCAUACUCUGGAGAUCAUGAAAGCUACAAGGAUCAAUGAGAAGGCAAUGCCAGCGAAAGCAAAAAUAUCGAAUAGUAAAAAGAUGGUUGCAUCGGAGAUGUUGAAAUAUGGGUAUCAGCCCAAGACAGGACUAGCACCCAGAGUCGAUGGUAUAGUCGAGCCAAUCCAAUUAAAGCAGCAGAAGGGUACUACAGGGCUUAGAUAUGAGCCCAUUUUUGGAGUAGCCUGCAGUAAAGGAUUUGGAAUGACAGUAUUUGUGCCAGCCCGAGUCCCAAUUUCAAAACAAAUAGAAGAUGAAGAUAUCAUAGAAGGAAUAGGAAAUUUGUUUAUGGCCUGAUCGAAGAAGAAUCGGAGAUAGCUUUCAAGAAGCUCACCAUUCGUGAUGCCGAGCCUGGAGAAGCCUUGCAGAAAUGGACCAUCAGCCCAUCCCUGUUUCGCCAGGAGUCUUGGUAGUGUGGGACUGUUGUUGUCUUUUAAAAAAAAAUUAUUUUGUUUGCAUGAUCAAUUGAGGCUUGAAUCAGGCCUAAGCUCUUUUUUCACUUGCCUCUUGUCAAAGCCAGUGCUUUUAUUAAUAAAAGUCCUUAUUUUCAAAACUUAUUUUCCUAUUUUCAAUAUCUAUUUACUUUACUCGCUUUUUAUACUUUUCAGCACAAAUGUUAAUAAAAAUUCUUGUUCCACGAUUAUGACAUGUAACGAAUCUGUUGAGCAAAACACAAGUGAUGAGAAAGAUUACGAGGAGUAGAAUAAAAGCAUGAUGCCUGAAAACCUACCGCAGAAGAUCGAGCAACUUGAGAGUCAGAAGAAGCCUAAUAUCGAUGAAACUGAAGUCAUCAAUUUAGGUAAUAAGGAGACACUGAAGGAAACAUGAGUCAGCAUACACUUGGAAGAUGAAAGGAAACAGGAAUUGAUAAGGCUGCUCAAACAAUACAUCGAUGUGUUUGCUUGGUCUUACGACGACAUGCCUGGUUUGAGCACUGAUAUCGUCUCGCAUCGACUGCCGACCAACCCCUCAGGUUCACCGAUGAAGCAAAAGAUAAGGAAAUUCAAGCCCGAUUUGAGUUUGAGAAUCAAGGAGGAGGUGACCAAGCAGAUAGAAGCCAACGUCGUGAGGGUCAAAACUUAUCCCACCUGUCUAGCCAACAUCGUGCCCGUACCAAGAAGGAUGGAAAGAUAAGAAUAUGUGUAGUCCAAAAGAUGAUUUCUCUCUCCCAAGCAUUCACAUUCUCAUUGAUAAUUGCGUGAAACAUGAGUUGUAGUCGUUUGUUGAUUUUUUUGUGGGAUAUCAUCGAAUUUUGAUGGACAAAAAUGAUGCAGAAAAGAUAGCCUUCAUCACUUCGUGGGAAGUAUACUCUAACAGGGUAAUGCCGUUUGGGCUCAAGAAUGCCAGUGCAACGUACAUGAGGGCCAUGACUACUUUUUUCCAUGAUAUGAUUCUCAAAGAAAUUGAAAUGUACAUGGAUGAUGUCAUCAUCAAAUCUAAAAGGAGUUUAGACCAUUUGGAUGAUUUAUGAAAGUUUUUUGAAAGACUGCGAAGGUACGACCUAAAGUUGAAUCCAACUAAAUACGCAUUUGGAGUUCCCGUGGGAAAGUUAUUGGGAUUCAUUAUUAGUAGGAGAGGUAUAGAGUUAGAUCCAUCCAAGAUAAAAGCAAUCUAAGACUUACCACCUUCUAAGACCAAAAAGGACUUAAUGAGCUUCUUGGGAAGACUUAAUUACAUUAGUCGGUUCAUAGCUCAGUCCACAAUAAUUUGUGAACUAAUAUUUAAGUUGUUGAAAAAAGAUGCCGCCACUGGAUGGACUGAAGAAUGUCAGGAGGCUUUUGAGAAAAUCAAGGAAUAUUUGUCUAACCCACCAGUAUUGGUUCCACCAGAACCAGGAAAGUCGUUGUUGUUAAAUCUAUCCGUUAUGGAUAAUGCCUUUAGAUGUGUGUUAGGGCAGCAUGAUGAUACAGGGAGGAAAGAGCAAGCCAUUUACUACCUGAGUAAGAAGUUCACCCCGUAUGAAGCUAGGUAUACAUUGUUGGAGCGGACCUGUUGCGCAUUGACCUAGGUUGUGCAAAGUUAAUCCACUACCUAUCCGCGUAUACCACGUACUUAAUUUUGAGAAUGGAUCUACUCAAAUACAUCUUUCAGAAACCAAUGCCUACUGGAAAAUUAGCAAAAUGGUAGAUUUUGUUGUGUGAGUUUGACAUUGUGUACGUGACACAAAAAGCCAUCAAAGGACAAGCUUUGGCUGAUAACCUCACAGAAAAUCCAGUGGAUCAACAUUACACGCUGCUCAAUACCUAUUUUUCCUGAUGAAGAGGUGUUUUUGCGGGAGAGAACAUCUCAGAACCAUAUGAUGGAUAGAGGAUGUUCUUCGAUGGAGCAGCGAACUUCAAAGGAGUCAGAAUUAGAGCAGUCCUAGUUUCAGAAACAGGUCAACAUUACCCAAUCUCGGCAAAGAUUAGGUUUCCUUGCACAAAUAACAUGGUAGAAUAUGAGGCUUGCAUUCUCUGGCUUAGGAUGGUAGUAGACAUGGAUAUUAAAGAGCUAUUGGUGAUAGGAGAUUCAGAUUUGUUGAUCCAUCAGGUGCAAGGAGAAUGGACCACCAAGAAUGUCAAAAUCCUUCCUUAUGUGCAAUGUGUUAAGGAAUUAAGCAAAAGGUUUACGAAGAUCGAAUUCAAGCACGUCCCUCAAAUUCAAAAUGAGUUCGUCGAUGCCUUGGAGACACUAUCUUCAAUGAUUCAGCAUCCAGAUAAGAAUUACAUCGAUCCCAUCAAAGUGGAGAUACAAGACCAACAAGCCUACUAUUUCCAUGUAGAUGAAGAGCCAGAUGGAAAGCCGUGGUACUAUGACAUUAAGAGAUUACUUGGAGUAGGAGGAUAUCCAGAAGGCACUAUUGGAAAACAGAAGAGGACUUUAAGAAGGAUGGCCAAUCAAUUCUUUCUCAACUGGGAAAUCCUAUAUAGGAGGACUCCAGACCUAGGAUUACUAUGAUGUGUCGAUGCCACAGAGGCCACAAGAUGUCAGAGGAGAUACAUACAGGAACUUGUGGACCACACAUGAAUGAUAUUAUGCUCGCAAAAAAGAUUUUGAGAGCUGGAUACUUUUAGAUGACCAUGGAGAGGGAUAACAUUCGAUUCGUGCAGAAGUGUCACCAAUGUCAAGUUCAUAGAGACUUUAUACGAGUUUCGUCAAACAAACUCAAUGUGAUAGGUUCUCCUUGGCCGUUUUCUGCUUGGGGCAUGGAUGUUAUUGGGCCCAUAGAGCCUCCUACGUCCAAUGGACAGCGUUUUAUCUUGGUCUCUAUUGAUUACUUCAUAAAGUGGGUUGAAGCCUCGACAUAUAAGGUCGUAACCAAGAAGGUGGUAGCAGAUUUUGUUCGCAAUAACUUAGUCUACCGGUUUGGAAUUCCAUAAUCAAUCAUAAUAGAUAAUGGAGCCAAUCUUAAUAGUGACCUGAUGAGAGAGAUUUAUGAAAGGUUUAAGAUCUCUCAUCGAAAUUCCACGGCAUAUCGACCACAAAAGAAUGGAGCAGUUGAAGCUGCAAACAAGAAUAUCAAGAGGAUUUUGAGGAAGAUAGUGGAUGGUAAUAGAGAAUGGCAUGAGAAGUUGUCAUAUUCUUUACUUGGAUAUCACACCACAAUCAGAACUUCUACUGGGGCAACUCCCUACAUGUUGGUUUAUGGGUCAGAAGCAGUAAUACCUGCAGAAGUGGAGAUACCUUCAUUAAGAAUUAUCCAGGAGGUUGGUCUAGAUGACGCCGAAUAGAUUCAUAGUAGGAUCAAGCAGUUGAUGUUUAUUGAUAAAAAGAUAUUAGACGCAGUCUGUCAUGGUCAACUCUAUCAAAAUAGAAUGAUUAAGGAAUUCAACAAGAAGGUCAAGCCUCGACGAUUCACACCAAAACAGUUGGUAUUGAAUAAGAUAUUCCCUCACUAAGAUAAAGCCAAAAGAAAAUUUGCACCAAACCGGUAAGGUCCUUACAUAGUUCACCGAGUACUCUCAAGAGGAGCAGUGAUAUUUGCAGAACUGGAUGGCACAGUAAGCACGAAGACGAUCAAUUGAGAUGCCAUCAAGAAGUACUACAUUUGAAGACAUUAGGAAUAGUAGUUAUUUCUUUCUUUGUACUUUUUCAUUUUUCUCCAAUGUAACAGAACUACGUAUUAGCCUGACUUCCCACGAUGGGAUACGUAGGCAGCCCACAUCGAAUUCGGUCCCUUCAUAUUUUUACCUUUCCAUUGUACUGAACUACGGCCUGACCUGAUUCUACUUGGAUAUGUAGGCAGCUUGAGUCAGGACCGGUCAUAUCGAACUACGUUAUGACCUGAUUCCUAUUUUAAGGAUACGUAGGCUGCCUAAGUCAGGCUCGUUCAUUGCACUGCAUAUUUUACUUUUCUCGUUGUAUUGAACUACGCCAUGACCUGAUUCCACUUGGAUACGUAGGCAGUUUGAGUUAGACUCGGUCAUUGCAUUUUAUUUUUCCACCCUCGAACUACAUAAAGAACUGAUUCCACUUGGAUACUUAGGCAACCUGAAAGGUUCGGUCUUACCUCUAGGAAAAUCUCCUUUGCUCAUAGUAUAGCCUCAGAAUAUAAGAGAUCUCGCCGCCAUAAUUAUCGUAGCAUCGACAGUCAGCUCCACUAGAAAGAUAAAGCUACAUGGGUCACGAUCGACAAAUGGAGGCUUAACGGAUUUUUGAACGUGUCAUAAUCUAAAAGUGAUAAAGGAUUACUAUAUAUGCUUAAUAUAUACGUAAUAUUUACGAAAACAUAUAUACAUAUAUGUAUUUUUCACCAUAAUUUCAACUUUUUCACUUACUGAGACUCCAGAUUCGGGAGUGAUUGAGCAACCGAGGGAGUGUUGGAGAAUUCCGUAAACAAAGCCAGGAUUCCCAAGUCGACACAAAUCAACACCCCCUCCCAACUAAGAAUGUUUCUUUGAGCGCAGGAAAAUAGGAAUUGAAAGACUACAUUAAGUCAAGAUUUGGGAUAGGAUCAGGGGCAUCAUGCAGCUUACCACUAUGACAUGAGCCAAAUAUUCUUCCUUUACUUUAUUCUUUUUACAUACAUUUAUACUAAUCCUCACAAACUCUAAGAGUUUUAUCCGAAUUCUUUUGCAGGUACAUUUUGAAGACCCGGGUCAGAAACUAAGAAAAGAGGAUCUUCAUAGAAAGAUUAGGCUAUUUACUACUCCCAACAAACUCCGCAAAUCGAAGAGUGUCGUCUGACCUCAAUAAAGUCUAGAUAUAAGCAAACAAAGUCAAGCUUCCGUAUUCCAAAGGACUGUAUAUAAGAAAACAAAGUCGAGCUUUCGCAUUUUGAGGACUGUAUUAAGGAAACAAAGUCGAGUUCCACAUUUUGAAGACUUUACAUAAGCAAGCAAGGCGAUCCUCUGCCAUAUCGGAGGAUACGAAUAAGCAAUACGACACUCUGCCAUAUCGGGAGUUGUGCACCAGCGAUGGGGACGCCCUACCAUAAAUCAAAAAAUGUACAUAAGCAAAGCAACACUCCUCCAUAUCGGAGAAUCGCAUUUCAAACAAACAAAGCACAGCCUGCCAAUCAAAGGCCCACACCAUAGCAAGCACGCAAGAAAGCAACUAUCACAACAACAUCAAGUUCCAAUAGCAAUAACAUCAUUUAGUUCAGACUGAAGGUCGCCUUGCCAAUAAAAGGCAAUUUACCAUUGGGCAAAUGUCCCGCCAUCGGAGGCUUUACUUUUCAAACACUGCUCGCCAUUCAGAUGGUACUUACUUCUCAAUUACUCAGCCGACGGAGGCUAUUUACACUUCAGCCGACGAAGGCUAUUUACAUUUCAGUCAACAGAGGCUAUUUACAUUUUGGACGAUGGAGGCUAUUUAUAUUUCAGCCGUCAGAGGCUAUUUACAUUCAAGAAGAUGCUCAGCCGAUAGAGUCUAUUUACAGUUUAGCCGGCAGAGGCUAUUUACAUUCCAUCCGACGGAGGCUAUUUACAUUUCAGCCAACGGAGGCUAUCUACAUUUCAGUUAUUGCCCCGCCAGUCGGAGUCCUUCAAAAAUGGAGACAAUAUUAGUUUGAAUAUCUAAACUCUACUCUUUAUAUAACGAUUUCAAUUUAUAAUUUUUCGAACGACAGGUAAUUUUUAUCCUGUUACCUGUUUUGUAGGACCAUGCAGUACAAUGUAGAACUACCCUCUUAGCAGCAAACUGGGGCAAGCUAGCGGAAUGUCAAACAUCCCUGGCUACGUCAAGGAUUCCGGCAAAGAAACUCAACUCAACUCAAUUCAAGUUUUCAUUUUCAUAACUUUUAAGUGUCAUUACCCAGUGUCAUCUUAAUCAAGCACUGGGACAAUCUUUGAAGAUCUUUAAUUUCCUUUUUCUCCCAAAAUCCUCAGCAGAUAUUCCUAUCCAACGUCUCCUCAUCCUCAGCUAUUCUGAACAACCAAUUUCGGUACUUGCACCUCUAUCCUUUUCCAUUCGUGCUAAAAUCUUUAUUAUCCUUCUAGAAGGAACCCAAUGUCACCAUAAUUCUAUAUUGGGCAAAUUUUGAGGUUCAUCAAACUUUACUACAACUCGAAAUAUAAAUGGCCUGAUUUCUUGUGGAGCCCGAGAUAUGUAGGCAGCUAGAAAAUCGAAGCCCGGCCAUAAUCUUCCAAACAUUUUAUUUUGCCUGAGACAAAAUUGGUUACGUCAACAUGAGUGCCCAAAGAUUUUCAAUCUUCGGUCCCUCAGUAGCAACUGUUGACACUCAAUUUUGACUCGUCAUUUUUCCUUUAAUUACUUUUCUGAUGCUUCUUGGUCCUAAAUAAUUUUCAAAAAUUAAAUAAAAAUAAGAUUCGUAUUUUUUUUGAUAUUUCUACAAGUUUUAAUAAAAAGGGAAUUUAUUUUUAUUUAUAAAAUUACUUUAAUUAAAUAUAAUUAAAUAUUUUGACAUUAAAAUCACAAAAUAUAUAUAUCUUUUGGUGGUCACAUUCGCAUUCUUUCUAACUUUAUUUUUGGGCAGUAUUGUGACCUUAUAUGUAUAUUUUUAUCAUACAAAAUAUAUUUUUAUAAGAUGUACAUAUAUUAUUAUUAUAUUCUUAUUUUAAUGUAUUUUAUUAUAUUCUUAUAUUUAUAUAUGUAUAUAUAUACAUAUUUUGUUAAUAGGAAAGUCGCAAAAUAUUAAGUUAGACUUCUGUACAAAUUAUGUCUGUAAACUAAAAAAAUAAUUUUUAGAAUAUCAGAAAGCAUCGAUAAAUUUAAUUUCAAUAGAAAAAGAGUAUUCGGGCUAACAAUAGUUCAACUUCUUUUUUAUUUUAUUUUACUUUUCAUCCGAACCCAACUCUUAUUUUAUGAAUUUCAGCCAAGAGCUCGAAUAUCAGUCCAAAUCAGUAUAAUUUCUAUGCCCGCUUCGUCAUUCUACCUUAACGAAUAUUAUUUGACCCAAUCUGUCGAUUUAUUUUGAAUCCGAUGGAUCUCGAAUUUUCAAAUAUAUAUAUAUAUUAUAAUUUACCUUUUUAUAUAUUUUUAAAAAUUUGAACUAUUCCGAUCAAAUACCAAACGGAUAAAACAAUAAUCAAUUCUUAAUUAGCUUUUUGUGUAUUUAUUUAUAUAUAAUUUAUAUUAUUAUUUUUAAGAUUGCUAUUUUUAAGACCGUCUGAUCUUUGAUCAAACGGAUCAAAAUGGAUCAAUAUAUGCAAGGUCAGUGCAUUCAAUAAAAGAGUUCACGCCUUUGCUUUGGCAGAAAUACGCGUACUCUCUUCCUAAGAAAAUAUUGAUAGGUCUCCGUCAUCUCUUUCCCAAAACAACAACAACAAUGGCCUCCUUCCCCUCUUCUCCUCUUUUCCUUCUCCUCUCACCCCAAACGAGAAACCUUAAGAUCUCCGUAGCUAGCCAUCGUCUGCCACCUACCUACACGAAUCUUCCAUUUCUAUCACCCUAAGCCAACAAAUCAUCAAAAAUCAGUCCCUAAUUUAUGCAAAAAUGAAACUUUCUGAGGAUUUGCAGCUAAAGCUUGAUAAAAACUGAAAUUUUUGUAGAUGGAUGUCAUAAUUUUGAAUUCAAAUCUCAUCUCCAUAAAAAUGUGCUUCAAAUUCGGACUUUGGAUUCCGGAUUUUGGCUAUAAAUAGCCCCACAAUCGCCAUCAUCAGGAUCAAGUUGGAUAUUAAAGGAAAAUCAGACUACAUUCACAAAAGUUUCACUAGAAAAGUCACAAAAAAGUUAUUAAUUUCUUCGCUUAAUUUCGGUGUUUGAUCGAGUCCUGAAAUUCGAGUUUUGGCGGCCGGAAUACUCGACAAGAAGCCCGAGUUUGCUGCACAAUACAAGGUACGAAUCCGAUUCUUUUGAAUUCAUUUUCUUUUUCCUCCCUUUGUGCAUGUCGAUUCUGUGAAUACGAAAUUCAUUAUGAUUGCUAAUUGGUGUUGUGUUGCUGUCUUGGCGUUACGGAUGGGAGUGUGGUUAUAAUUUUAGUUAUUUGCUCCGUGAGCAUGUCAUUUAGUUUAGAUUUUGGCUGAAAAAAUGAUUUCUGGUACAAGUUUUAAGUUGUCGUUAAUCCUAGUGGGUCUAAAUGUGAUCGUUCAUCGGGUUUAAGUUGUUGUUUGGGCGUGGGUGGAUAAGUAUUAAUUCUGGUAGUCAGUAGAAUUAGGUGUACAAUGCGAAUUUUUUAUCAAGCUUAUAUUGGUUUUGACUCAAAAAUUGAUUCGUGUAUAAAUGUGUGAUUCUCUUGUUGUUCCGUUUAACCUAUUUUGCUUUUGCCGAAAAACACAACUUUUGCAGUCAUAUUAUGUGUAUGUAGGAGUCUGUGAGCGCGCCUCGCUCUUCCCUUUACUCUCUUUCCUUUUAAAUUUCAAAUACAUGCUUAAUAUGGUAUCACGAAUGACUUUUAAAUAUAUACCAUUCCUUUGAUUGUGUGAAUUUCCCCUUCCUGCUUUACUUUCUCUUCAUCUCAUUUUUUUAUUUUAUUUUUAUUAUUAUUUUUACGACAUGUUGUUUUCUGUCGUUAAGUUUUGUUGUUGAUGCCUUCAUCGACCUCGGGAAUAGGAUAAGUCUAACUUCGUGAAAUCGCCUUUGGUUCAAAACCAACUUUUAUGAAUACAUGACCGAUAAAUACGCUAAUGGUUUGGGCUGCCUCAGAUUAAGUUCAUAUUAGCACCUUUGUUCGUUCCCUGCAAACUAAGUUUAGCAUAGAGCUUUGAAGUUGUCCAGUUGCUUGAUGUGGUUGCUUUAAACAUUAAUAUUGUUUGUUGCUGCAUUUGGUCCUAUGAGCAAGUAUUCGGGUCUUUCAAGAUCACAUUUAUGUAUAUACAAGUUCUUGGGCACGAAAAUACAAGACAUAAUUUGGUUUGAUUUUCAGUUAUGGUACUGCUGUCCGUUUUUCUGUAAAAUCAGGUCCGACAACAAGAUUUUAUUUUAAGUUACAUGGUUGUCCAUUUUACGUAGAUAUGGUUUGGGGUCGUUUAUUGGGUAUUAUAUCAAAGUCUAUUUCGAUUCGUUUGUCGUAAAAUAGACAUCUCCUUAUAAUAAAGAUAGGAGUAUAAAUGCAAUUUCAAAGGGAAAUAUAUUUUUGUAAUUGAAAUAAAAUGUUUGGUUAUAGUCCUUUUGCAAAAUACUUAAUUAAUGAGUUUUAUCACUUUAAUUAAAAAAUUUCAAAUAAAUAGUUAUAAAUAGGUUUCAACUAGUCAACCCUCUUAUGUUUUCAAGUAGCUCAUCAAUCAAAUUUGUUUUUUCGUUUAACUCAACAUAAUCUAAACGUUUAUUACACUACACUUAUUUCUAACGUUAUUUAAAGUUUUCUGAUUUUACAAAUCUCCAUACAGAAGGUAUGUAGGCAUUCGUACACUACCAUAAGGAAUAUUUUUCACUAUUACUAUUCUUAUUCUUACUAUUGUACUAUUAUUAUAUAUUAUCAUUUGUGUGUUAUAUCAAUUCUACUACCACAUUUUACUUUACUCGCUUUCAAUAUAUUGAAAUCUCAUAAAUCAAGUAAAUUUUUGCAUCUUUCAUGUACUCUCACAUAUAUACAUAUUAAAGUUUAUCUUACAAUGAAUGAACUCUCGCAUACUUUAGAGUAUACUUUUCUAUUUUUAUAACGACUUGUUUAUGUAUUUGACUUAAUAUACCUUUAAACAUAUUUUCAUAUAAAAUUAUGACGCUUCUAUAUUUUCUACUACAGGUAUAAUAAAGGUACUACUCUUCUCCAUAUUUCUGGAAACAUUCAUAUAUGUAUUUUGCAAUUUUCAUAUUACGUGCUUGUAUAUUCUAGUAUUACAUCUUAUAUACCUUGAAUAUCAUUUUCGAUAAUAAUAAAAGUUUUCUCAUCAUUGUUUUAAGCAAAUAAUAAAAAAAAAAAUUUUAAUAUUUUUCUAAACUAAGCAUAAGGACUAUCUUCGGAUAGGCCUAGAAGGGUGCCUAACACCUUUCCCUCGGGUAACCAAAAUCCUUACUCCGAAUCUCUAUAUAUUUUUGAAAGACCAAAACAGAGUUUUCUACAAAAAAAAAAAAAAAAAAUAGUUUUUUCUAAUUUUCCUAAAAAGUUAGGUGGCGACUCUAAAAAAUAAUUUUCAAAUCCCAAGAAUCACUAAACGCCACCAUACAUCAUGUGUUGUUUUGACUGGUUCAAAAUAGGGCGCGACACGCUUAACCAUUUUCAAGUAACUAAGUUACCUUCCAAACCACAUUCAAAAUAAAAAUUAACCUUUAAAGUCCCUACACUUAACCGUUUUCAACCAACUAAGUUACUUAUCAAACCACAUUCAAAACAAAAAAAAAUCUCUUUUAAAGUCCCUACACUUAACCAUUUUCAAGCAACUUAGUCACCUACCAAACCACAUUCAAAACAAAAAAAAUCCGCUUUAAAGUCCCUACACUUAACCAUUUUCGACCAACUACGACAACUACCAAACCACAUUCAAAACAAAAAUUUCCCUUUAAAGUCCCUACACUUAACCAUUUCCAAGCAACUAAGUCAACUACCAAACCACAUUCAAAACAAAAAAAAAUUCUUUUAAAGUUCCUACACUUAACAAUUUUCAAGCAACUAAGUCACCUACCAAACCAUAUUCAAAACAAGAAAAUCCGCUUUAAAGUCCCCACACUUAAUCAUUUUCAAGCAAACUAAGUCACCUACCAAACCAUAUUCAAAAUAAAAAAACUCCCCUUUAAUGUCCCUACACUCAAUCAUUUUCAAUCAACUAAGUCACCUACCAAACCACAUUCAAAAUAAAAAAAUUUCCUUUAAAGUCCCUACACUUAACCAUUUUCAAGCAACUAAGUCACCUACCAAAGCACAUUCAAAACAAAAAAUCUCCUUUAAAGUCCCUACACUUAACAAUUUUCAAGUAACUAAGUCACCAAUCAAAUCACAUUUAAAAUAAAAAAUUCCCUUUAAAGUCCUUACACUUAAUCAUUUUCAAGUAACUAAGUCAACAACCAAACCACAUUCAAAACAAACAACAACAAGACCAACAAGAUGUCAACAAUAAUGCUAGUGAAUCGAACAAGGCCACACACGGCUUCACUAGACUUUAAUAUGGACAAUAACAAGAAGAUAACAACAAUGCUAGUGAAUCGAACAAGGCCACACACAGCUUCACUAGACUUCUAUAUGAACAAUAACAAGACUUCAUUAUAAGAAAAUAAAGAGAAAUCAACUUACCUUUGCAUGACCUAAAUUAAAGAGAAAGAGAUAAGCAGUCACUUGUAAAAUAGCAAAGCAAUUCUUUCCCAAAUUUAGAUUAUGUUAAACAAUAAAAUUAUUUGAAAGAAUAAUCUUUGGCUUAAACAAUUGCAACAACACUUUUGUAAAAGCUAUCACAUUUAUGACUUUCCUUUCGACUAACAACAACAAUGGUGCAUGAGUUUAAAAUUAUGUACCAUUUGCCCUCAAAAAUAUCUUGUUUAUAGAAAAAUGUAAAGACUAAAACAAUUUACAAGAAAUGAAACAAGCAAACGUAAUAAAAAUUACUCGUCAACAAUUCAACGUCCUGAUGAAGCACAAAAUCAAACUCAUCACAAAUUUAGAAAACCCAAACAAUAAAGCUUCACUAAUUCGAGCUUCUAGUGAAGCUUAAAGUUAAAAUCAACACAAAUUUGACAAACAAAACAACAAAUCUCAGACAACUCAAACUUCUAAGGAAAAAUUUCCAAACCAAACAACAACAAUAUAGAAUCACAAUAUGAAAUCUUUACAAUUUCUCGGACAACUCAAGCUUCUAAUGUGUGUUAGUCGAAAUGGAUAGUUAAGAGAAGAAGGGAACAACAUACUUGUGUGUGUGAAGUCGUCGGAGGUCGAUUUGCCAUUGCCGGAGGAGGUGCCGUCGCUGGAGGAGAUGUGUAUGUGUGUGUC
rnacentral:lncRNA from 1 species